rnacentral:miRNA from 1 species
GUUAUGAUUUAUGUUUGUUCGUCUGUUUAUUUGUUUAUAAUUUUGUGAACAAAUAAACAGACGAACAAACAUAAAUCAUAACC